rnacentral:rRNA from 1 species
CCUACGGGAGGCUGCAGUCGAGAAUCAUUCGCAAUGGGCGAAAGCCUGACGAUGCGACGCCGUGUGAGCGAUGAAGGCCUUAGGGUUGUAAAGCUCUUUCGCCUGGGAACGGGUACCAGGUAAAGAAGCACCGGCUAACUCCGUGCCAGCAGCUGCGGUAAUACGGAGGGUGCAAGCAUUAAUCGGAUUUAUUGGGCGUAAAGGGCGCGUAGGCGGAGUGAAAAGUCAGAUGUGAAAUCCCGGGGCUCAACCUCGGAACAGCAUUUGAAACUCUCACCCUAGAGGGUAGGCGGAGAAAACGGAAUUCCACAAGUAGCGGUGAAAUGCGUAGAUAUGUGGAAGAACACCGGUGGCGAAGGCGGUUUUCUAGCUUAUCCUGACGCUGAGGCGCGAAAGCAAGGGGAUCAAACAGGAUUAGAUACCCUAGUAGUC